rnacentral:misc_RNA from 1 species
GAUGAAGAACGUAGCGAAAUGCGAUAAGUAAUGUGAAUUGCAGAAUUCAGUGAAUCAUCGAAUCUUUGAACGCACAUUGCGCCCCCUGGUAUUCCGGGGGGCAUGCCUGUUCGAGCGUCAUUUCACCACUCAAGCCUCGCUUGGUAUUGGGCAACGCGGUCCGCCGCGUGCCUCAAAUCGACCGGCUGGGUCUUCUGUCCCCUAAGCGUUGUGGAAACUAUUCGCUAAAGGGUGUUCGGGAGGCUACGCCGUAAAACAACCCCAUUUCUAAGGUUGACCUCGGAUCAGGUAGGGAUACCCGCUGAACUUAAGCAUAUCAAUACGGAGGA